rnacentral:antisense_RNA from 1 species
AGGGCCGAGACGGGAGGAGGGUACCCACCUGGUCGGUGUCACAUGCUGCUUCGGCCCCAGCGUCCCCUCCAGGUCCCGGCGCCGGCCGCAGUCCCCAGCGCCGUCCCCAGCGCAGGCCCGGCCGCCCCACCCGCGGCCCGCCCCUGGCCGCCCGACGGGAGGGAGGGAUCGGGUUCUCCUAGGAAGUUUCAGUAUGCAUUCUUAGAAACCAGAUAUACAAAGACAAGCUCUCUGCUUUCAAGAAGCUCUCAAUCUGAUCGAGGAGAGAAACAGGUAGCAAAUAAUGACAGCAGAGCGUGAACUGGGAAGAAAGGACCCUGAAAAGUUAGCUGGUUCCAAGUGACCCUCCAAGGGGAAGAGUGCUGGAUUCAGAGCCCACCUCUGGGGAAGACAGGACCCUCUCCAAGGUGGCUUCCCUAGAAGCUACUACUUCUCCCUGGAGGGUGGAGAUAUUUGCUGGUCAAAG